GCCCUGACCUUUACAUUGGUGUUUUCUAAAGAAACAAAUUAUCAACGCAAUUAUCGUGCCAAAUUGGCCAGGGCAACGAUUUCUGGUCCUUGCCGUGUUACAGACCCAGGAAAGUGUGUGAAUAUACACGGAAAAUGCGAUGGUAAUAAGUAUCAAGCUCCAGAAUGUCAAAUGCCAUCAGUCUGUUGUGUCAGGUCCAGAAGCGUAUAUAAGAAAAUUGAGGGCUUAGAUUCGAGCUAUUUUGAAUGAUUCUGAUGCUGAUUCAAUACAGAUCCGCUAUUGGUUCUUUUGUCUAAAAUAAAAUGCAUAAAAUCCCCUA